GGCCUGGCAGACAGGAAGUUCCUGCAGCUGCAGUUGCUUCUUCAUGUAGCCAGGAAGCACUAGGACACUCUGCUCCUAGUCAGGACACCCCUAAUAUAAUUUUAAAACCUGCACACAUCAAUCUCUUAUUUUCUAAGUGAAGAUCCUUCUCCAUUUUUCUAUAAUGAGCCAACUCUUAGAAACUUACCACUCAGCAUUUAGCCUGUUGGAACUAACAAUCAGGCUAGUCAGGAAUUACAAUACUUCAUGGGCUCAACUAAAUGUUCUGAAAAAUAACUAUUGUGAUGAAAAAUGGCUAAUCCUUUAUAUACAGAUUAUAGUUUUACUAGGAGGAUUUUGAGAGAGGACAUCGAGAAAAUAAUGAUGAAGGAAUGCGUUAUAAGUGAGGGUCAUAAUGUAGUUUUAUCUAGUACUUCCAGUAACUAAACAUCCUUGAAUUGACCUGAAUAAAAACCUGUAUUAUACAUACGUCUAUUCUAAGCAAUGGUAGAUCAUGAUCCAAAAGCCUCUAGUUUGUCAAACUAGUCAUAGAUUCCAAAAGAUGCCCUGGAAAAAAAGAGCAAGCUGAAGUAUACUGAGCUCCCCAACUCCAAAAGUGUUCAGCAGAGACAAGAUGACUUUUAAAGAUGCUAUAUAGGCGCUUCCUGUACAUGGUGAAAGAAAAAACAACCCUGUCACAGCUCUAUUCCAGUUCUGAGCAAAACAUUCUACUGUUGUCUUCCUUAAGCCCCCCUCCACAGCUAUUAUCACUCCAUACCUGGUGUAGUUUUCCUCAGGGCCCCUUUCUUCAGCAUCAGCUUCAUCAGUUCUGUCAUAGGUCAGCAGAUCAGAUGGUACAUCAUGGAUCUGGACACUGGGUGCAUGAUUCAACAUCUUCAGAUUCUCAAAGAUCGUCUGGCGGAUUUGAUCCAGGUACUGGCCAUGAACAAGAACUAUUUCUCAGCAACUUUCAAGGCAUCAGUGUUCCCAUCCUCACUGAGGCAUACUAAUUCCACAAGUUUUUGUAGUCAGGGAUUAGCAGUUGGGAGCUAUCUCUCAACAAAAAAUGUUACAGCCCUUCACUGUCCUGCUUUCCAGGACUGGCCUGGAGCUUUCCUCCCCAGUUUGUUUCCCUCAGUCCUUUGGCCUCGAAGUCUUAGUCAAAUCCUUCUGGCUCUGCCCACCCCCAAGCCAAUGGGCAGUAAGUCCCCCAUACCCUAACCCUCCUCCCUUCCUUUCUCUAGGCCACUGACCUGUCGUGAAUUCUGAUUUUCAAUUCGAGUGCUGACAUCUGGAUGAAGUGUGAAAUCUGGGGCAAAGUACUCAAAAUAUUCUUUGUUUGAGAAGAGGAAGAAAAACAGAUUAGAGGCCCCAGGGAAGAAGGAAGGAUAAGCUUAGCUCUGGAUGGGAAUAAGGAUUCUUGGGUCUUAUCUCUAUCUAACUUGGAUUUGGUAGGAAGACGGGUCAAGACAUUAGGGCUUAUCUACAACUCAGUGUUUCAGUAUCAAAAAAGAGUAACACUAGAGAACUCAGUUAUGCCUAAUGAAAGAUAUCAAAUUAUUCUUCUAUGCCCACCCCAGGCCACCUUAGGACUCCAAGGAAAUAGAUUUGUAGAAGGGGAAGGUGGGCAUCAGAGGAAUGUCUCACCACUAUAUGGUAGCUCCUCACUGAUAGCUUCUUCUACCAACAGUGAUGUCUCAUAUGUCCUGAAAUAAAGAGAAAGAAGGGGCUGAACAAGAAGGUUCUAGGGCCUCUCUAGGAAUCCCUCAA